rnacentral:lncRNA from 1 species
GGUAUUUGUGUUCCCAAAAUGAAGAAAUUUUUUUUCAUAUAAAUGUCAUGUACCCACUUUACCUAGAGAGAGUUUUUAUCCACCACCAGUUGAUAUAGCAAUUUCCCAAUAGAAGCCAAAUUCCAAAUCCUACAUCCUUUGACAUUCAGUUCUCUAUUGCGCUUGGGCUUACAAUUUGUGUCUCAUGCUAUAGGUGAAUGUUCCUUUGAUCCUCUUUGACUCCCCAUAUGAACUUCUAACAUCUCUGAUCGACCUCCUUCAACACACUUUAUGGC